rnacentral:rRNA from 1 species
ACUCCUACGGGAGGCAGCAGUGGGGAAUUUUGCGCAAUGGGGGCAACCCUGACGCAGCAACGCCGCGUGAGUGAUGAAGGCCUUUGGGUCGUAAAGCUCUGUCAGAGGGAAAGAAAUGCGGGCGGCUAAUAUCCGUUCCGCUUGACGGUACCCUCAAAGGAAGCACCGGCUAACUCCGUGCCAGCAGCCGCGGUAAUACGGAGGGUGCGAGCGUUGUUCGGAAUUAUUGGGCGUAAAGCGCGUGUAGGCGGUUUUGUAAGUCUGAUGUGAAAGCCCUGGGCUCAACCUGGGAAGUGCAUUGGAUACUGCGAGACUUGAGUACGGGAGAGGGCAGUGGAAUUCCUAGUGUAGGAGUGAAAUCCGUAGAUAUUAGGAGGAACACCGGUGGCGAAGGCGGCUGCCUGGACCGAUACUGACGCUGAGACGCGAAAGCGUGGGGAGCAAACAGGAUUAGAUACCCUGGUAGUCCACGCCGUAAACGAUGAGAACUAGGUGUCGCGGGUA